UGUUUGUUUCGUGGUGCGUUAUUCUCCCUACGUUGUGGAUGGGUCCAAGUGCAAGGUCAGCUGACCGAGUUAUAAAUACCGUGGGGAAUAUGAGAGCAUGUUGACUCUGUAAACCUGUCUGAGGUGGCGUGAAGAGUUGAGAAGAAGUCAGUCAUUUUAUUUUCUCAUAAUUAAACCUUUUAUUAUAUAUUUUUGGAACAUUUCCCUGCCAUAUGUUUGAAUCAAGUGUCUGAUUUCACAUUUUCCUCGCUGUGAAUAGCUGAUUUUUAGCAUCCACUAAAAGUUGCAUUGCUGAUUAAACAGUAUACUUUCUGCUUCAUCUGUUUAAAUCGAUUAAGAACGCUUACGUAACGUACAUUUCUGUAGACAGGGGCACAUUUAUGUGAAAACUUUAUUCUACUAAAUUCAUUUUGUAUGUUUUAUAUAAUUUCGCAGUGAAUAUAUGAUUGGUCUUACAGGAAAUUCUGCAAUAUGGAUGAUUUGUGAUAAUGAUAUGUGGCUGUUCUUGCAUACCUUGCAUACAGUGACUGCUAAGAAGUCCUGUCUAUUGAAAGUGUGCGAGAGUGUGUAAAGUCCUCAACUCUCCAAAAGGCUCACUUGCACUCGUCUGUCUUCCCACCACUUCCUGUCUCACCAUCGCAGCUGAAUAUUGAUCUGAGUGACACAAAAUCCUGAGUACUUACCAAUAAGUGAGUCAACACAUCAGGCACUAACUGUUUUUUUAAUCAGCAAUCAGUUCCAAAAUAACUCUUCACCAAGAGCUGUGCGUACUAAUUCAUGUUAAAUAAUAUGAUAAUUAAGAACAGACUGCUAUGUAGUGUACUGCGUUGCUGAAUUAGUGUGUAAUGACAUGUUCUUAGAUAUGUGACCACUUUCUCAAUGACUCACCCUUGAUUAUCUCCGAAUCAUCUGCUAAAAGGCACACACCAGCACUAAUUGUGGCCUCCUUAUUAUAUGCUUACUGUUAUUGUGUUGCUUCGGGAAAAGUGGCAUUUUCCUUGCUAUUUCCUGGUAUCUAUGCAGGAUCUUGUGUCUCCCGUGGUGUUACUUUGAUCUAUUUUUUUUUUAACUUAUUCAUACAUACAGAACACCAGCUCUCCUUUGCUGUAUGUCAGAUGGACCUUUGAAUAUUGUGAGCAGGCUUUUACUUUGCUAUGUGAAUGUGGUUAAGAUGUAUCUAACAAAUUAUGAAGCAUUGCUCAUUGCGUUUGUGAUUUAAAAGACUUUCUUUAGUGGUAAUAUCAUAUCCUGGCAAUGAAAUUCCCUUUGUGUCACACUUUAAGCAAGUAUGCUCAGCAUUUGUCCUUAUUUCUAUUUCAGAUUUAGUUGAAUCCAAUAUUGAAAACAGAAGGGACUUCUUUGUUUUCAGGUUCUUUUUGAAUAUCUAGAAUUACAAUCUGUAGGCACUACUUUUCACUUUCAUUAGUGAGCUGCAUCAAGGCUUGGCUAAAUAAACAUUUAGGCAGGUUAGACAAGUGGGAGUAAAAGAGAUGGAAUACAGUCAUUGAGACCGAGAGAGGUGUGUCUUUGCUUAACAUAUUUGUCGGUGAAAUUAAAAAAAAUAUAGACUUGAUGACAGACUGUGGACUUGAUCCAUGUUUAUUCAUUUAGUCAACAUUAAAUUAGGCCCGUUAUCAACAGUGGUUUUCAAUUUCUCAUACUGGCACCAUGCAUUUGUUUUUAAUUUGUUUAAUUAACAAACUAGCUUCCAAUAAACCUGGAUGAACAACUUUAAAUGUAAGCAAGAGUAAAAAUCAUAUUAAACUGGGAACAGAAGUCGCCUACAGAAAUGAUGUAAAAUUAUCAUCCUUCUUCCGACUGACACAUAAAACAGUGCAAGUGAUGCAUUCAUGAGAAAAACAACAAGUUUUGUGUUCCAGAAAAGAUCUACUCUCCAACUGAAUGUUUCUAAAUGUGCAGAGCAGCUCAACAGGUCUAAAUUACAGCUGUUCAGGUGGCUAUGGCAACAAAGAGGUCUAUUUCUAGUUAAUGUUUUCACUCUAGAUGUUUUUCCCCUGCGGUUAUCUUUAGUGGCUCAAGUUUCUGUGGGUUGUUCACCUUCACAUCCUUUGAAUGAAGCGAUAUUUUUUUUUUGUCUGAAUGAGAAGGGACAAAACUCGUUCUGUGAGUUGCACAGCCUUGGCAGAAAAUAAACGUCUGGUUUCCUGGUUAAGUUGUUUAUUUGCGGGCAAGAAAAUGCAUAGAUUUGAUCAGUCAUCCUUUUCCCUGCUUCUAACAGUGAAGUGUCUGUCACAUCACAUCAUGGGUUUGCUGCAGUGCAACAGCAGAUAAGCUAGAGCAGAUGUAGAACUGUUGCGUGUGCUAGUAAAAUACUGCACAUUUCGGAGUCUAAUCAUCAUAAUCUCAUGAACACGGUGCUCUUGGUUGGUUUUGCAGAAUCUGUCAGCUUAUUGUGUUUUGUUUUUUGCAAGGAAGGCCUAAUUUUGCAGCAUGACAAAAAAUACAUUACCUAAAUCUACUGAAAGCGAGAAAAAUGUAUCUUUUAUUGCACUUGGUCACAGAGAUGACACCGAGAUCAUUUUAAAGUGAGUAAAGGGACACACUAGCAAUUUAUUCUUGUACUUUUACAGUGUUUUUAGGCUUUCAAAAGACAGAUUUUUUUAAAAAAAAUUGUCACAAUCAAAGGAUAAGCGGUAUAGAAAAUGGAUGGAUGUCACAAUCAAAGCAGAGGAGGUUGGAAUUUCCAGACUUUUAUUUCCAAGUAUGUCCCAAAAAUAGUGGAUGCAGCCAAUAGUGGAUCCUUUUCCCAUGAUGCAACUCGACAGUGUCUGUCCUCAGGUCCUCAUUGUCAGGGCCCAUCUGAAGAAUGAAAAACAGCACUACCUGGGAUUUUGCCAGCAAACCCUGGAACAAAUUUGUUGCUGUUCUCUCCUUCUCCCCACCCCCUCUCAUGAACUCAGCUGACCCUGGGGCCGAGACACAGACAGAUAUCAACGUGCCUGUCCCAAAACAUGACCCAGGCACAUGGUUGCCUGACAGGGGUCAUAGGUCACGCCAGUAAAAUAUGAGUCCAAAACUAGCUCAGUCUUCACUGACACGUAGCCACAGGGGGAGCGAACUAAUUUCUCUUCGAUGGGAGCAUGCACUUGAAUUUUGGAGAAGCAGCUAUGUUUGCAAAAUAUUGACAGUUGUUUUAAAUCCCACAAAAAUGCCACAGAAAUGUAAAAAAUAAAUCCCAUAAAGCUUGUUUAUGUUCACUAAUAAGAGGAAAAACAAGAUGAGUAAAAAUACCUGUUGCUUUUAUUUAUAGAUCAAAGUUCAGUGUCGGUUUUCAGCGGCUAUCAAUGAAGCACGCAGCCCACGAAACACUGAAUAUGGAAAAUGCAUGUGAACUGAACACAGUGAACUUUGAACUGUUUUCAUGCAGUCUGUGUAGGGAUUACUGAGAAGUAAAUUUUCUCGCUGCACAUGGUAUGCAGUCUUUGCGUAAUAAUUGUUGAACUUUAGGCGACCCUGAUCUGCUGAAUAUGCUGGGGUGUCAAACUGCCACUAAUAGGUUGGGGUGUGUGUGUGUGUGUGUGUGUGUGUGUGUGUGUGCCUGACUACAUUUUUUUGUCGUCAGACCUUAAUAUCAAUGAGAUGAGAUGUGCUACUUGAAAACAUCAGUUUUAUUAAACUGUAACUGAUGUUUUAUAAAACAAAAAAGGCUAUUGAUUAAUCAAGAAAACAAAUGGCAGAUAGAAUGACCAUUAGAACAGUUAGUGCGCUUAGACACUAAAGUUGGCAUCGACAUUACUAAACAAAGUCCAACUAAAACCACGUGCAGUAACAUUAAAACAUGUUUUUAAUUAGAUCAAAUCGGCAACUUUUUACCAAGUAAAACACGGUUAGCUAUCUCUCAGUAUUUCGGAACAUAUUUCAUCUGCUUAUUUACUGAUGUGACUUUUUAAAUAUUGAAGAUAAGCAUCAUAUUAGAGUAAAGAAAAGUACAGAUUGUUCUUCAACAUCAAACAGGAACCCUGCUCUUCAUUACUUUCAUAUCUGUGGUUUCCACAGUCUGGCUCGGCAUCAGAGAAGGGGGGUGUGCUUCUGCUAAGUUUCAUAUUAGCUCAUCAUGUUUCUUUACAGCACUUGUGUUAUGAAUCUUAUAAAUCCCGUGUUUUGUUUUUCUGCUUUUAUAGGUAUGUUUUUGAGUUUUUUAAUUGCUAAAAGGGUUCAACUCAUUUUAUUUUUGCCAAAGCCGGUGCUGUUGUUACAUGUGCACAGAGAAAUUUAGCACUGGGAGAAAAAAACGCAGAGCACUGCAGUUGUAUUGGAAUUAUGUUGGGCAAAAUGCAGCGAAAUAUGUCACAAGCAAGUUAAGAAACUGAAACAAUUAUUUCAGAAUUCAUUUAGAUUCAACAUUUUGUCAGUACAAUGAACUCUUUACAGUGUUUACUGAAGUCAGUUUGGAGAAAUCUUCUUCAUCCAAAGUAUAAAUCACAAUAAUUGGACCAUUUCCAUUGGUUUCAGGUCAUUAGAGGAGAACAACUCAUGUCCUCGUGGUCCAACCUCAAAUAAAAUGCUUAGAGGGCUUACAUGAAUGGCGGCUUUGUUGUACCAAAGCAAAGAAUGCUAUUCUCAGUUGUUAAAUGGCUAAAUGGAUUGUACAUGCAGAGCAAAGAUCAACUCUGAGGACCACUCUGUGCACCCAGACAUAUGGAAAGCGAUGUGCCACUGUGUGGACAAGACACACCUUUCAGUGAGAGUUUAUUGAAAAUAUAUUGAUGGACAAACAAUUGUCACCAUGAAGCUUGUCUGACAGCACACUUUUUUGGUCUUUCUGUGAAUUUGUUUGCUCUUUUGUAUUUUUUCCCUUUUUGUCUCAAUUCUACUUAUAUAUAUUUUUUUGUAUUUUGAAUAUGCACUGUAUAAAUUAUUAUUGGCAUCAUGAUGCCAAGGGUGGAAAACUUCUUGAUGUUCAUGGGUAGCCAGUUGAUACUGAAAGAGUAUAAUAGUUUCACUGGAGGAGGAAUUGAGCAAAGUAUACUUUGGAAUGUGAAGAAAUAAAUGUGCCAAGUCAAUAUAAACACAAGUUGCAACACACUGCAUCUUACUACAUGUUAUCUGUGGAAAAGUACCAGGGUACGGUGUGUCACCAUAGCGGAUUCCCCUGUUGUUUUAUAGCAAAGCCUCAGGGAAGAGGACGGGGGAGGGGCAGGGCUGCACAGAGGAGAGUAUGUGCUGUGAGAGUUUGUUUAUGUAUGCAUGUGAGAGAAUGAGGGAAGUUAUUAGUGUGACCCUGGGUGCCUCUCCAGUAGUGGAAAUGUACCUUCACAAUGGAGCAGCUUGGAAAAUUUGGACGAGAAAAAUCAAUGAGGAAUGAUGUCUUUCACUCCAGCGGCUACCUUCCAAGCGUCCUGACAGCACCGCUGCUAUGGACAGGGCAACAGGAGGAGAAGAAGAAGAAGAAGUGUGGAAGUGCCAGCAAUUUUACAAAGCAGAAUUUCCCUCCUCUAAUUUUGGUCUCGUCGUGUUGCAGUCAGUUGUUUCCAUCUGUUUGCUCAACAGUGUGCUGUUUGGACCACUGACAUGGCAAAAACCUGUUUGGUUUGUCCUGUUCUUUGUAGAGAUACUGUAAAAACACAGCACAAACCAGAGUAUGCAGUUGUGUGAAUAUCACUGACAUGUAAACAGUGUCUCUGCUAAAAGAAACACUGUUUGGAAGGCAGCCCACUGGUUGUUGUGCAUACUCAGCUCAUCAUUUAGUAAAUGUGGGACUGCAGGGGGGGGAAAGAGGCUCUAUUUAAAGGUCUUAUGAAUGAGGUGAAAAUAUGUGCGCGGGUUACUCAUGAUGUGACGUAUGGCCAACACUUUUUUGCUGAGAACCACAGAUAACAGGGGAGUUGGAUUCCAGUCACCCAGUUGUUUACAUAUUCUACAUACUGUACAUUUAUGGACUGAGAUGCCCUAGUUUCUAUGUACAUGUCUGGUGUCAUGUAACAGAAAUGCUGCAUUACAUAGUUAAUACAAGUUUUAAAUGAACUGUGCUGUAAUUUUCUUACGUUCAGGAUCAAUAAAAAUUAAUGUCAUUUAGACCCACGCACUGAAUGUAGUGUGUUUGUGUGUGAGACCAUGUCGCUCAUGAGAAAAAGGAACAGGUUAUUGGCAUGAAGUCAUAUUUUGUGAUGUUGUAUUAGAUAGCAUUCUAUUCUAACUGUGAGCAAAAUAAUGUCAUACAUGAUAUAAAAUGAUCCAGAACAAGUAACCACCCACAAAUGUCAUCAAACCCCCUGCAGAGUUGAAUCAGUUCUGACAGAACAGAAAAGUGAACCUUAUGCAUGUCACAAAAGACAGAUUGUGUUCCUUGUUCAGAUGUUCUGACUGUGCCACUCCCUAAGCAGUUCACCUGAGUGUAAGUGAACACACCUUUUUCUGCAUGUUGUUGCAGUCAGGCAACGUCCUUUUAGAUAUACGGUAAGUGCUGCGCAGUGAUUCAUGUUUAUGUAAAAUAUUCACAACCAUUAAUUUUAAAAACUUCCUUGAGGUUUUGAUAUGAUUUUACACGCAAUAGUAACAUUAUGUUUUGAUAUAAUCUUGAUUAUUAUCCAUCAAUAUGCCACAUUAUUGAGGUUAUGUUAGGUUCAGAUGGCUCCACUGUGUGAAAACUGAGUGCACUCACACUCGCAAAAGGACAGAUGGUAAUUGUACCUUUGAGGUUAGGAGAUAAGGCUCAUAGAGUACAAGGAACUAAUACUAUUAGUUGUAGACUGGCUGCCAAGUGUGGCCACUGAGGGAAUUGUCAGAUGAUCAACACAGUUAAUUCGGAUGUAAUGUGGGAAUUGCAUAACCUCUGUGAACUCAAAAGAAGCUGCUGGUUCAUUUCAUCUCAUCAGUGAAUCAGAUUUGUUAAUGUCACACCACAGACAUCUCAAGAGCUAUUUAACUGCCAGUCAGAGAGCAGCGUGUCUGCAGGUAAAGCAAGCUAAGGCACCGUAUGAAAACCACUGGAGUGAAUAAGUGAGCCUGGCAGAGAGUUAAGUGAGUCCUGAGCAACAGCACUUUGCUGUGUGUCUUUCUCUCUUUGUCUCUCGCUCUACAAGCCAUUCUUUUCAAUAAAGGCUGAAAAAGUCCUAAAAAAAAAAAA